AAAGCGAUUCAGCGGGUUACGAUUGACGGAGCGAAGCGACGUCAAAGCGUAUACAAAGUCGAGUCGGUUUAAGGAUACGUUCGUUGGGUAGGGGAGCGUUCUGUAAGCCUGUGAAGGUGGCCUGUGAGGGUUGCUGGAGGUAUCAGAAGUGCGAAUGCUGACAUAAGUAACGAUAAAGCGGGUGAAAAGCCCGCUCGCCGGAAGACCAAGGGUUCCUGUCCAACGUUAAUCGGGGCAGGGUGAGUCGACCCCUAAGGCGAGGCCGAAAGGCGUAGUCGAUGGGAAACGGGUUAAUAUUCCCGUACUUGGUGUUACUGCGAAGGGGGGACGGAGAAGGCUAUGUUGGCCGGGCGACGGUUGUCCCGGUUUAAGCGUGUAGGUGUGUGUUCCAGGUAAAUCCGGUUCACUUUAACACUGAGGCGUGAUGACGAGGCACUACGGUGCUGAAGCAACAAAUGCCCUGCUUCCAGGAAAAGCCUCUAAGCAUCAGGUAACAUCAAAUCGUACCCCAAACC
rnacentral:rRNA from 1 species